AUUUGUUAUGGCUAACACUCUUUUAGCAAAGUAGUUGAUGGUAGUUCAUAUAGAUAUAGAUAUUAGUCUACUGUUAAACUGGCAUUAUGACUACCCACAUAACAGAUUAGACCCUGUGUGCACAGAUGACAGAGAUGUCCAAAGGGAAUCUGUUUUCCUGUGGUGAGGCUGGUUUGACUGUUUGAUACUGUUUUUGGUUCCCUCACUUUGUUCUCAGCUGCUCCCCUCCUGGGUGCAAAUUCCCACACACAGCCCACGCUGGACUUAAGCGUAACAUCGGAUCAAGCUAUUAUCCCAGCUUUCCAUACUGUUAAAACAUGUGCAGG